ensembl:lncRNA
CAGAAAAGCAAUGUCAAGGUUACGGACCCUGAAAGACAAAGCUGCAAGCACAGGAAUACAUUGUGAAGAUGGAUAAUGUCACAUGCCGUGCUCAGCCCAAGACAACUCCAGAUGACCAACUGCAGAAGUCCUCCUGGAAAGUGUUAAGCUCUGAAGCCCGGAGGCUGAUAGUUAUCAAACUCAAGCAAACAGCUGAGCAAGAUCAAGCAGAUCCCCGGGGCCAUCUCUAGAACAUCUGGAACUGCAGGUCUGGGUUGGAAGUGGAAAGCCUGCAAUUCCAUCAAAUUCCCAGAGGAAAUACAACCAUCUGCAGAGGAAAUACAACCAGCUGCCUCAAGCUUGUUGGUCAUAUCUUCACUGCCAUGAUGGACUAUACCCCCAAACUGUAAGAACGGAGGAUGCCAGUGAUCAGGCAGACACGGUGCUGGAGAAGUAGCUGAGAGUUCUACAUCUAGAUCCACAGGCAGCAGGAAGAGAGAGACAUUGGGACUCGCUUGAGCUCUUGGAACAUCGUAACCCACCCUCAGUGACAUACUUCCUCCAACAGGAAGUAUGAGGGACAUACUAUUCAAUGAGGUCAUACCCUCUAAUCCUUUCAAAUAGUGCCACUCCCUGAUAACUGAACAUUCAAAUAUAUGAGCCUAUAGGAGCCAUUCUUAUUUAAAAAGCCUGGCUCCCACUAAAUUUAUACAGACUGACCUUAAGACAAGGCCUGUCUUUAAGUAAUCCCAGCUCUUACUUUCUUCAUUCUCAUCUGAACCCCAACCACAGGUUCCCACAGUGUCAAUUGUGGCAGCAACACUAGCUUUUAGCUGUCAGUCCCUAUGAUCAACCUGCCACUUUGCCAACAGAAUUGUGGAGUUGGGGAGGGGCAAUGGAGGUAGCCAUGCAUCACAAGACCACACUUUAGUUCCCAGCUCUUUCCCCAUUUUCCAGGCAUUUAUUUAUACCUGUUAUGACCUUUAGCACCCUGCAAAUGUUAUUUCUGGUGACGUUGUCAAGUUUUAUGUGUUUUCCCAGACAGGAAUCACCGACAUGUUCCCUGGGCCCUGAGUCAGAAGCUCAAUAAAUGCAAUGUUUUGUGAAUUACCAAGUGGGCAAUGUGGAGGUCAGCAUUCUCAACCCUCUUUGCUAGUAUCUCUAUCAGUCUCAAUGAUCAAUGCUCCUCCUCUUCCCAGUCCUUCCUUUUUAACACCCCACAUGGUAUUUAUCAGAGUUUACUAUGCAAAAGGCUGUUCUGAGGACAUUGGCAAAUUGCAGACUCAUGGCCCCUCACGUCAUACAGAGAGUCUGGUUACAUUGAUUCUGGGUGCAAAUGCGUGACCGAGGGCCAGUCCUGGACCUUUGUCCUGUAGUGUAGGACUGCCUCUUGAGUUCCCAGGCCACAGCGGGCCUUUCAUUUCCUGCAGUCUAAACUAACUCGCCAGUUUGGUGUUAGAGACACACAUUUCCUUUACUGGUAGAGUUAAUGGGAAACAGGGACACAGCAACAUGCUGUGUGAGUCCAUUUGGGGCAGACAACAGAAGCUCUGAUAGUCACAAGUCAUUCUUUGCUCUUGUCCCUUAUUAACUUUGACAUUUGCAGGAAGCUCAAAUUCUGGUUUCCUGGUGGGUGGUUGUGUGUGGGGGGGCUCCCAUGCCUCUGCCUUACCUGAAGGUCCCCCCUUACCUGAGGGUUUAAUGUUCUGUUGAUGAUAUGAUAAUCACCGUGGCAGUAGGCUCAAUGCCACAGACAGGCAAUUAUCACUUCAGCCGAGAGAAAAUAAACAGCCACACAGAUGGUGGCUUGAAAUCUUUGCAGGGAUCUUAAUGUAAUGUUUACUUAAAAAAUUCCCAUGAGAAAAAAAAAAGAACUGAUUUUAGAUACAGAAAUCAUAAGACAGCAACAAGUGCUCACUCUAGGCCCUGAGCAAAUUUGGGGCACAUGUUCCCCAAAUCCUUUCUUCACAGGUCUAGAGUACCCUCUCCCAAUCUCCUCUGGCCACUUGAGUACAGCAUGUUGAACACUGUGUAGGUCCAUCCAUCUACUGGUCCUCUGUGUUUUUCCUCUUUCAACAAGGUCAACAGAUGUUUGUUUUUUGUUUUUUGUUUUUUUUCUUUUUUUAGAAUGUUGUCACAGGGUGGCACCAUCAUUCAGAGGAAAAAUCCUCCACAGCAAUUAAACACAGCGGAAAGGAGAGUAAAUGGACACACCUGUAAUUCUACCAUCCAGAGCAAACCACACCUUCUUGGCUCUGGUCUCUCUGUUCUUCAGUGUGUUGGAGGGGUUGUUUGAGUUGUCAUAGGGUUGGAGCAGAGCCUUUGCAGCCCAAACAAGCUGCAGUCUGCACCUGAACUCAGUAGGACAAUUUAAACAGGCAAUUAAUAGUGAAGAACACAGAGUCACCCACUGUGGGCACAUUAUAAUGAGUAAUAAGUAGGAUUUAGUGAUCUCAAAUCCAUCUCUGAGGUCCUGAUGUGACGUUCCUGUUUAAACAGAGUAAAAAACAUAUGCUCAGCUAAGCAGUCCUGCUCAUCUUGACCUAUCAUUGACUUGGCUGCUGUCUCUCCUAUGAAGUGGCUCGACAGGCUGUCAGAACUGUGUGAAAUCUCUCUCAGGAAGACAUGGUUCCCCUCUGGCUAUAUGUUUUUCCUUCUCCCAACAAGAGAUUCCUAGGGAAAUUCCAGUUUCUUGGGCGGCCAUUGUUUCAGUAGUCUAAUAGCAAAAGAGAGGAUCACUAGUGACCUGUUAGAGUAUUCUCAUUGCUGCCAAGUGUGUGGUUUGAGAAUAACCUCCAGAGGCUCAUAGAUAUGAAUUUGCUUGGUCCUUGGUUGGUGGAUCAGUUUGGGAAGGAUUAGGAGGUGUGGCCUUUUAAAGGAGUUGUGUUAUUGGAGGUGGACUUUGAGGUUUCAAAAGCCCAAACCAGGCCCAAUCUCUCUCUCUCUCUCUCUCUCUCUCUCUCUCUCUCUCUCUCUCUCUCUCUCCUCUCUUCUGCCUCCAACUUGUGGGUCAGGAUGUAAGCUCAUAGCUACUGCUCCAGUGCCAUGACUGCCUGCCUCAUGCCAUGCUCACUGCCAUGAUGGUUAUGGAUUCACCCUCUGGAGCAAGUCCCCAAUUAAAUGUUUUCUUUUAUAAGAUGCCUUCGUCGUGAUGUCUUUUUCCCCCUACCAAUAAAAAAGUAACUAAGACACAAAGAUAAUGGCAAGGUGCAGUUUUUUUUUUUUACACAAAUGAAACCACAAAAUACACUGUCUGACCCCAUUGCUGAGACAUGUUGCAUUGCAUUGUGUAUGUAUGUCUCAAAUAAAGAGGUCUCUAGCCUCAAUUUAGAGUGCUCUAGGCAGGCCAUGUUCCUUUCCUUUGAAAAAGUUAAUUUAUUAUUUUUAACUUUCUCAGUUUUAUGGAUGUAUA